rnacentral:rRNA from 1 species
AUGAACGCUGGCGGCGUGCCUAAUCCAUGCAAGUAGCACGCUGAAGGAGGAGCUUGCUCUUCUGGAUGAGUUGCGAACGGGUGAGUAACGCGUAGGUAACCUGCCUGGUAGCGGGGGAUAACUAUUGGAAACGAUAGCUAAUACCGCAUGACAACAGUUAUUGCAUGAUAACUGUUUAAAAGGGGCAACUGCUCCACUACCAGAUGGACCUGCGUUGUAUUAGCUAGUUGGUGAGGUAACGGCUCACCAAGGCGACGAUACAUAGCCGACCUGAGAGGGUGAUCGGCCACACUGGGACUGAGACACGGCCCAGACUCCUACGGGAGGCAGCAGUAGGGAAUCUUCGGCAAUGGACGGAAGUCUGACCGAGCAACGCCGCGUGAGUGAAGAAGGUUUUCGGAUCGGAAAGCUCUGUUGUAAGAGAAGAACGAGUGUGAGAGUGGAAAGUUCACACUGUGACGGUAUCUUACCAGAAAGGGACGGCUAACUACGUG